rnacentral:lncRNA from 1 species
GAGGGGCAGGGAAGAAGGGAAGGAGACAAUACAGAUCAUAUAACUUUAGAGAACUUAGGCAAGUCACAACCUCAUUAAGCUGGUCUCAUCAGCUACAAAAUGAGAGCAUUGAGCUGUUAAAGAUUCUCAACGUGGGGUCUGCAAACUUAUAAAUUUCAAUGGUGAAGUGUCACAGGGAGAGUGGAAAACUCUCAGUGAAGACCUGUAAUUAGAAAAUUUCCACACCAAGAACAAAAACAAUGACUUUGGGCCACUUCCUGACCCCACUCAUCCAUAGAUCAGAAGGCUAAGUUUAACUUCUCAUGGAGGGAGUGUAGGUAACAUAGAUAGCA